ensembl:lncRNA
GAUUGGCCUGGACCCAGACCGCCGGCUAACCGGUGUCCAGCGGGCUCGGCUCGGGGUCAGCACGGCCGUGCCCUGACCCACGCGCGGUGUGGCUUCCUCGCGGUGGCGGGUGGUGUGAUGACCGAGGAGGCGGCAGAACCGCGAGGAAGGUGGAUCCGCAGUGACCGCGCCCCUGCCCGCCUGUUCCCCACGCCUCCCUCCAGCAUUCCCGGCGCCGGCCGAAGCCGGGGCUCGGAUCCCGGGCGCCCACGAGAAGAAGACGUGGGAGCCAGGCGCGGGGGGCAAGAAAGUGGGCCUCCCCGUAGGGACGUCUGAAAGCAGUGAUGGUACCGGGGCCUCGGGCGACAAACCUGAGGCCAGCGCCGAUCGGUGCAAACACUGAACAGAGGGGCGAGCUCUCCACGUUGCGUUCUCGGGCGGCGCAGGAGCCGUCGUGCACGCGGGCCGUGGCGACCGAAGGAAAGUUCUCAAACUCUUACAACUGAGGAUGACGUUAACUCUGAGGUUUUCGUUGGUGGCCUUUAUCAGAUUGAAGAAGUUCCCUUCCAUUCCCAAUUUGGUUAACACUGGCCUCGUGGAGUGAGUUAGGAAGAGUCUCUUCUCUUCCUUAGGAGGAAUCCGUGAAGGACUGGGACUGAUCCUUCCUUCAAGUUUGGUAGAAUUCACAGUGAAUCCUUCUGAGUUGGA